CCCUAUGGGGUGCAGCAGGCGCGAAACUUUCCCAAUGCACGAAAGUGUGAGGAAGGGAUUCGGAGUGCUUUCCCUUAUAUAGGGGAAGCUUUUGUGGAGUGUAGACAGCUCCAAGAAUAAGUGGUGGGUAAGACGGGUGCCAGCCGCCGCGGUAAUACCCGCGCCACGAGUGAUGACCACGUUUAUUGGGCUUAAAGCGUUCGUAGCCGGUCCAGUAAGUCUUUAGUGAAAUCCCAUAGCCAACUAUGGGGCUUGCUAGGGAAACUGUUGGACUUGGGACCGGGAGAGGUCUGGGGUAUUCCAGGGGUAAGGGUAAAAUCUUGUAAUCCUUGGGAGACCACCUGUGGCGAAGGCGCCAGACCAGAACGGAUCCGACGGUGAGGGACGAAAGCCAGGGGAGCAAAGGGGAUUAGAUACCCCCGUAGUCCUGGCUGUAAACGAUGCCCACUAGACAUUGGUAGUCUCACGGGGGCUAUCAGUGCCGUAGCGAAAGCGUUAAGUGGGCCGCCUGGGGAGUACGGUCGCAAGGCUGAAACUUAAGGGAAUUGGCGGGGGAGCACACAAGGGGUGGAGGCUGCGGUUUAAUUGGAUUCAACGCCGGGAACCUUACCAGAGGCGACAGCAGAGUGAAGUCCGCUUGAAGAGCGUACCAGACGCGCUGAGAAGAGUGCAUGG
rnacentral:rRNA from 1 species